UACCAAAGAGUUGAGUAUGGGUCUACAGUUCGUUGUAGAUUCAAUAAUUAAUCUUUGGAAGAUAAAAUGCUUGUACUUUCUCUUGAAGUGAAGUCCAGUUCAACUUCAGUUUAAAUCAUUUACUAGCAUACAAUA